rnacentral:lncRNA from 1 species
UGCUGAGAUUACAGGCUUAAGCCACCACACCCGGCCUAUUUUAUUUCAUUUUAUUUUUGAGACAGGGUCUUACUCUGUUGCCCAAGCAGGAGUGAGGUAGCGCAAUCAUGGCUCACUGUGGCCUUGACCUCCCCGGGCUCAAGUCCCACCUAGGCCUCCUGGGACGUGCCACCAUGCCCAGCUAAUUUAUUUUGUUUUGUGUUGUUUUGAUAGAGACAGGGUCCCACUAUGUUGCCUAGGCUGAUCUCGAACUCCUGGGCUCAUCCACUUGCCAAUUUCUGGUGACAGUUUAGGUCUUGUUGUCUAUCUUGAUGUGCCAGACAUUACUCAUCCAUGUCAUGUUUGGGGUGACAGAGACUACUGGUCUUGCUUUCUAGUUUGGGGUGACAGUGACUGGGGUCCUUUUGUCCAGUUUGAGCUGACAGUGAUUGGGGUUCAGUUGUCCAUUUGGGGGAGGCAGAGACUGGGAUCAGUGGUCUAGUUUGGGGUGAUGAGACCAGAAGUCAAGGCCCGGCCUUGGGGUAACAGAGAUGGAGAUACAGUUUCCCAGUUCUGGGUGGCAGAGACUUCCUAGUUUGGGGGACAGAGACUUGGGGCAUAGUUGUGCAGCUGGAGGGAUGAGGCUGAGGGGUGCCUGUUUUGACUUGGGGCGGCAGGAGCUGUCAUUUCAGUCCUCUAGUCUGGGGCGCAGAGUCUAGGGUGCUGGUCCCUUCUAAACAUGGCUGAGCCUGAGAGUGCUGAUGCCUGAAUGUUCCUGGGACAACUGAGUCAAGGGUUUCCUGUACUCAGGUGUGGGGUCUCUGAGUGAGUGUGGCCAGCGGUGUGGAGCUUUGUGUGAAGGUCACUGAAGCUAGGAGUCUGGGUAUUUGGAAUGGAGGUGUCAAGAGGUCAGGGCCCCAGGACUCAGGACCCACUUGAGGAGUGCUUCAUGUCUAUGACAUGGAGGGCCAGUGUUUUCAAAGCACCUCCACACCUGUGGGUGGCAGUGAUAGAGACCCCUGGGGGAAGAUGGAGACUGAGGCUCUAAUGCCUGGCCUAGGGGUCGCUGUGGCUGGGGCACAGGUAACCUUGGGAUUUCUGGCCCUGGAGACCCAGCUGCCCUUUACUGGACACAAGAGGAUCCUGUGGGUCUAAAGCCUAGUCUGGACCGGGUGCAGUGGCUCACGCUUGUAAUCCCAGCACUUUGGGAGGCUGAGGCAGGUAGAUCGCCUGAGGUCAAGAGUUUAAGACCAGCCUGGCCAACAUGGUGAAACCCCAUCUCUACUAAAGAUACAAAAAUUAGCUGGGGUGUGGUGUGCGCCUAUAAUCCCAGCUACUUGGGAGGCUGAGGCAGGAGAUUCGCUUGAACCUGGGAGGUGGAGGUUGCAGUGAACCAACAUUGCGCCACUUGCUCUGGGCAACAGAGCGAGACUCCAUCUCCAAAAAAAAUAAAAUAAAAUAAAUAAAAAUAAACUAGCUGGGCUGUAGUCCCAGCUAGUCCCGCCAAGGUGGGAGGAUCCCUUGAGGGCAGGAGUUCAAGAGUAGCCUGGGCAACAUAGUGAGACCCCAUCUCUACAACAAAAAACAAAAAAAUUAGCUGGGCACAGUGGCAACUGCCUGCAGUCCCAGCUAUUCAGGAGGCUGAGGGAGGACCUCUUGAGCCCAGGAGUUUGAGGCUGCAGCGAGCCAUGAUUGCACCAUGAUUGCACUCCAGCCUGGGUGACAGAGCAAGACCCUAUCUCAAAAAAAAAAAACCCUAGUUUGGGGGCAAAUGGUUGGUUGUGGUAGUCAAGAUGCAUUGUUUAUGGGUGACUAACACUGAGGACUCAGAUUCUCACUUUGAGAAGAUGGAUGCUGGGGCUCAAGAUCCUGAAUUUGGGGUGCCUGGAGUUCCUCCUGCCCAGUUCUGGGCACGUGUGAGCCCUUGUUCCUGUUUUGGGACACCCAACACCCAGCUCUAGAUGUCUGCAGUUGUGUGGCUUCGUCACUGAGGCCGGGGAUGGGGGCUACUGACACCCACAUUAGUGACGACAGUGGGGGCCUACUGUCUAGAUUAGAAGUGACUUCCUGUGGCAUUUCACCUGUCAUGUUUGGGGUGAGUCAGUUCGGAGACUCAGGUGUCAAGUCUAGGGUGACUGGUUUUGAGGUUUAGCGGUGACCGAGGUUGGCAGCCCACAUGUUGAUUUGGGGGUCCUACUGAUUACCUUAGGGCUGACUGGUAAUCCCAGCUGCCCAGAUGUUGAGGUUGGGAUGACCAUCUGAGAGCCCGAACAUCAAUCUGGGGUGACAGCUGGGGCCCAGAUGUCCCUCAGCAGAUCCAGUGCCAAGCUGGGGUUGUGUCAUCAGAUGCCUCCUGGGGGUGUC